AUGAGAAUGAGACGUCUACUGUGCCAGGCCAUCGCUUAUUCAUAUGAUACAAAGCAGGAUGUCUUUAUAAUUAAUGGGAGACCAUGUAGGAUCACACUAAAAGAUGUGGAGCAUAUAACAGGCCUGCCCUGCAUGGGGAAGAAUCACGUCUCUUCAAAUCACAACGAUACUUUGGAGUUGUGUAAGGAACUGAAAGACCCCAGUGACACAAAAGUAACUUUGAAAGGAUUGCUAGCCAAGAUGAAAGGCGACAUCACACCUAAUUUUGUCAGGCCAUUUGUCUUGUACACCAUAGGCAAAUAUGUAUGCCCGACAACACAGCAGUAUGUGGACAAUAGAUACCUUGGGAUUGUUAGAAACGUUGAGACAAUAAAGAGCACCAAUUUUGGACAGCUUACGCUUGACUAUAUUAUGGCUAGCGUCAGGAAAUUUGUAAAUGGUGGAGCAAAUCUGGAGGGCAACCUACCACUGCUGGAGACGUGGUACUACGAGAAGUGA
rnacentral:rRNA from 1 species